GACGAACCGUGCAAACGUUGUUUCGGAUUCACUGGGCUUAAAGGGCGCGUAGGCGGAUGGCCAAGUCAGGGGUGAAAUCCUCCGGCCCAACCGGAGAACAGCUUCUGAUACUGGCGGUCUCGAGGGAGGUGAGGGGCAACUGGAACUUCCGGUGGAGCGGUGAAAUGCGUAGAUAUCGGAAGGAACGCCGGUGGCGAAAGCGAGUUGCUGGACCUCAUCUGACGCGUGAGGCGCGAAAGCCAGGGGGAGCAAACGGG
rnacentral:rRNA from 1 species